rnacentral:rRNA from 1 species
GUGGGGAAUAUUGGACAAUGGGCGCAAGCCUGAUCCAGCCAUGCCGCGUGAGUGAUGAAGGCCUUAGGGUUGUAAAGCUCUUUCAGUGGGGACGAUAAUGACGGUACCCACAGAAGAAGCCCCGGCUAACUUCGUGCCAGCAGCCGCGGUAAUACGAAGGGGGCUAGCGUUGUUCGGAUUUACUGGGCGUAAAGCGCACGUAGGCGGAUCGUUAAGUCGGGGGUGAAAUCUUGGAGCUCAACUCCAGAACUGCCUUCGAUACUGGCGAUCUUGAGUCCGGAAGAGGUGAGUGGAACUCCUAGUGUAGAGGUGGAAUUCGUAGAUAUUAGGAAGAACACCAGUGGCGAAGGCGGCUCACUGGUCCGGUACUGACGCUGAGGUGCGAAAGCGUGGGGAGCAAACAGGAUUAGAAACCCGGGUAGUCC